GUGUAUGGCCAUACCUCCCUGAAUAUGCCUGAUCUCAUCUAAUCUUGGUCACUAAGCAGGGUCAGGCUGGUUACUACUUGAGUGGGAGAAAAGAGACGGCCAUAUGAA
rnacentral:rRNA from 1 species